rnacentral:rRNA from 1 species
GCGAACGGGUGAGUAACACGUGAGUAACCUGCCCCUCACUCUGGGAUAAGCCUGGGAAACUGGGUCUAAUACUGGAUACGACCGAUCUCCGCAUGGAGUGUUGGUGGAAAGUUUUUGUGGUGGGGGAUGGACUCGCGGCCUAUCAGCUUGUUGGUGGGGUAAUGGCCUACCAAGGCGACGACGGGUAGCCGGCCUGAGAGGGCGACCGGCCACACUGGGACUGAGACACGGCCCAGACUCCUACGGGAGGCAGCAGUGGGGAAUAUUGCACAAUGGGCGAAAGCCUGAUGCAGCGACGCCGCGUGAGGGAUGACGGCCUUCGGGUUGUAAACCUCUUUCACCAGGGACGAAGCUAACGUGACGGUACCUGGAGAAGAAGCACCGGCUAACUACGUGCCAGCAGCCGCGGUAAUACGUAGGGUGCGAGCGUUGUCCGGAAUUAUUGGGCGUAAAGAGCUUGUAGGCGGUNUGUCGCGUCUGCUGUGAAAGACCGGGGCUUAACUCCGGUUCUGCAGUGGGUACGGGCAGACUAGAGUGUGGUAGGGGAGACUGGAAUUCCUGGUGU